CCUACGGGGGGCUGCAGUAGGGAAUAUUGGGCAAUGGGCGGGAGCCUGACCCAGCCACGCCGCGUGGGCGAAGAAGGCCCUCGGGUCGUAAAGCCCUUUUCCGCGGGGCGAACCGCCGGGGUUAUCCCCGGCCUGACGGUACCGCGGGAAUAAGCACCGGCUAACCCCGUGCCAGCAGCCGCGGUAAUACGGGGGGUGCGAGCGUUGUCCGGAUUCAUUGGGCCUAAAGGGUACGUAGGCGGCCCGUUAAGUCGGCGGUGAAAUCCCACGGCCCA
rnacentral:rRNA from 1 species